UAUUCCUUUUCUGAGCAAAGUGACAUCAACUUCAUGGUGCUCAUCUUAUAUCAUCCAGGGACAAAACAACCCAUGUUUAUUCCAGCAUGGCUUUUGAUCUUUGCCUACACCUGGUUCAUUCCUUGGACACACGU